rnacentral:rRNA from 1 species
AUUGAACGCUGGCGGCAUGCCUUACACAUGCAAGUCGAACGGUAACAGGUCUUCGGAUGCUGACGAGUGGCGAACGGGUGAGUAAUACAUCGGAACGUGCCUAGUAGUGGGGGAUAACUACUCGAAAGAGUGGCUAAUACCGCAUGAGAUCUACGGAUGAAAGCAGGGGAUCGCAAGACCUUGUGCUACUAGAGCGGCCGAUGGCAGAUUAGGUAGUUGGUGGGAUAAAAGCUUACCAAGCCGACGAUCUGUAGCUGGUCUGAGAGGACGAUCAGCCACACUGGGACUGAGACACGGCCCAGACUCCUACGGGAGGCAGCAGUGGGGAAUUUUGGACAAUGGGCGAAAGCCUGAUCCAGCAAUGCCGCGUGCAGGAUGAAGGCCUUCGGGUUGUAAACUGCUUUUGUACGGAACGAAAAGCCCUGGGUUAAUACCCUGGGGUCAUGACGGUACCGUAAGAAUAAGCACCGGCUAACUACGUGCCAGCAGCCGCAGUAA